GUGCUAUUCAUGUGCCAACUUUGGGCACUGGGCUAGAGAUUGCCGAGCUAAGGACAAAAAAUCUGGAUACAGAGGAGGUGCCGUUUAAAGAGUAUGGACCACACAGUGACAUUUUUCAGAAAACGUUCGUCACUGGACAUGGUAUUAUUUGGUCAUCGGACUAUGUUUGUACAGAUGUACUUUGUCACCGGACCUACACUGGAAGUGUACUUGCCUACUUGGUCACUGGACCCCUGAGAAGUAUUUUAUUUGGUCAUUGGACCUUUUUUGUGUUCACCACUGGGUGAUAGUUGGUCACUGGGCCACAUCUGGCCAUUAGAGAUCGUAUGUUAAUUGAAUGAACUGAUGUCAUUGUGUAUUAUUUGAAUGAACUGAUACCAUAGUGGUGAAAACAAUUUGAG